CCAAGGCAACGCAGUCAGUACCCACCUUUAAAUAUUGUCUCUAUUCUGAUAGCUCUUAAAAUUAUACCCCAGCCCCGACCUCUCCUCUGAGUUCCAUGCCGACUCCCCAUCAACACUUUGCAUCUUAAAUGUGGCAUGUCUUUCUAGGUAAUUUGUUGUUUUCGAUGCAAUGGAAAUGUUUGUGCCAGUUAUAAAAUUCUGGGUUUGGAAGUGUGGGAAAAAAAGUCAA